UGUAUGCUGUUCUGCCCCUGGAUCCUGACACAGAGCUCCUGAAAGUCUUGUAAUUUCCUGAGUGAUAAGAACACUAGGAGCAUCUUUUGUUCCAGUCUUUA